rnacentral:rRNA from 1 species
CCUACGGGUGGCAGCAGUAAGGGAUAUUCGUCAAUGGGGGCAACCCUGAACCAGCAACGCCGCGUGAGUGAAGACGGUUUUCGGAUUGUAAACCUCUGUCCUCUGUGAAGAUGAUGACGGUAGCAGAGGAGGAAGCUCCUGCUAACUACGUGCCAGCAGCCGCGGUCAUACGUAGGGAGCGAGCGUUGUCCGGAUUUACUGGGGGUAAAGGGUGCGUAGGCGGCUUGGCAAGUCAGUAGUGAAAUCCGUGGGCUUAACCGAGGAACUGCUAUUGAAACUGGCGAGCUUGAGUGAAGUAGAGGGAGGUGGAAUUCCCGGUGUAGCGGUGAAAUGCGUAGAGAUCGGGAGGAACACCAGUGGCGAAGGCGGCCUACUGGGCUUUAACUGACGCUGAGGCACGAAAGCGUGGGUAGCAAACAGGAUUAGAUACCCUUGUAGUC